rnacentral:RNase_P_RNA from 1 species
GGGAGGGGAGAGGUAUUCGCUCACGGGUAUUCCCGGGAGAGGAAAGUCCGGACACCACAGAGCGAGAUUCCCGGUGAAAGCCGGGGUGGAAUGGCUCAAACCAUUUCAACGGAAAGCGCAACAGAAAGAAAACCGCCCAUGCAAAUGGGUAAGGGUGAAAAGGUGCGGUAAGAGCGCACCGCAUUGACGAGUAAUCUCAGUGGCACGGCAAGCCCAAUCCGGUGCAAGACAGAAUAGGAAGUGGGGUGGCUCGCCCAUACACUUCGGGUAUGUCGCAUCCAUCAUGGUGGGAGUGUCAAAUGAUGCUAGAUAAAUGAAUACCGCGGCGUCUGCCGUACAGAAUCCGGCUUACACUUCCCUCCCUUGG